UUAAUAUUAAUAUAAUUUUAAAAUUUUCAAAUUUUGUAAAUUUGAAUGUGAAAUUUAA
rnacentral:tRNA from 1 species